CCUGAGGCUUUUUGAAGCUGCUGCUUGGUGAGGGGCACGCGUGUUUUAAAACACUGCAGUGGGGCUGCAGCUGCAUUAGCAGGAGAAAAACCUCAUAUUUGCCCAAAGGAGGAGUCAGAAUCCCAUCUGGAUUUAGCAAGCACUCCCACCCACAGAGGGUAAGGAAGGGUAGAUGUGUGUAUCAGGCCGUGGAUGCUUCCACCCCCAAGACCUGAUUUGCCAUUGAGGGAGCAUUUCUAAUAGUUCAUGCAAAGCUUUUUGUGGAAUAAGGAGAGGAACCAAAGAGAUAAGGAGAGAAAACUUGGAGGAGAAGCACAGCACCAGGCAGCCUACAGCCACAGGAGAGGGGAGGACACCUCUGCAAGGCACCCACAGCACUAUCCAUCCCUAGGGAUGAGCACUGAGCAAGCAAAUGAUGACCCCUGGGGAGGACCUGAAUGGUGAAGGGCAGAAAAGGCAUUUCCCCCAGUGAGGGACCCCAGCUCUCCCCGUCCUUGGCAGUGCUGUCCCCUCCCCACUCACACCCCUGGGGUGGCUGCAUCUCCAUGGGGCUGUAUGUGAUUGCUGCACAGCCCCAUGGGAUGAAAGCUGUGUGCUUAGAUAUGGUUUAUCCCUUCCAACCCCUGAUGAUAAUCCGGGAUUAGUCCUUCCAGCGUAUGAUUACGUUUUGCCCACUCGCUUUGAAAUGACACCAUUCUGGCCCUUUUCUUUCAGCUUGUCCCACCAAUCCUUAGGAAAACUGUUUGCCAGGCUCUGAUUAAACCCUGCAUGUAGCAAAGUCCCACUGGGAUCCCAAACAACUUCACGUGUCCAUUCUCUUCCCUUCUCCUCUGCUGAGCAGCCCUAUCCCUCUGACGUCCCCAUGGGGACAGGACAUGCCUCACUAUACACAAGUGCAUAUAUUCAUCUCCCAUAAUAAAUAUGCAGUUUUGCCAGCAGCAAUGACUCCUGACCAUCAUUCCCCCAGGCAGAUGGAUGCAUUGGAAGAAACCAUCUUGUAAUGUCAGCCGGGCUCCGUCUGGGAGCAUGGCAUCAGCUGGGAAGCCAAUGCUGCUGCUCCCCAUUAGGCUUAUUCGCUAUCUGUGUUGCUGGGCCAUUAAAGGAGCUGUGUGAAAGCUGUCUGGCUGUUCACAGGAGCAGUGGAGCAGCGGGAGAGACAGCAGCCGUCCCUCAAA